rnacentral:pre_miRNA from 12 species
GCAGGCCCGGGCCCGCUGCCCCCUGUGAGCUUCCCUUUGUCAUCCUAUGCCUGAGCGAUGCCUGGAGGCUGGGACGGCCAAGGGAGGCCCACGGGCUGCCACCCACAGCCCCGCGGUG